UACGUAGGUGGCAAGCGUUACUCGGAAUCACUAGGCGUAAAGCGCAGGUAGGCGGUUGGAUAAGUUUCUUGUGAAAGCUCCCGGCUUAACUGGGCGAGGCCAAGGAAUACUAUCUGACUAGAGUGUGGUAGGGGUAACUGGAAUUCCCGGUGUAGCGGUGAAAUGCGUAGAUAUCGGGAGGAAUACCUAUGGCGAAGGCAGGUUACUGGGCCAUCACUGACGCUGAGCUACGAAAGCUAGGGGAGCAAACAGG
rnacentral:rRNA from 1 species